rnacentral:rRNA from 1 species
AUGUCUAUCCCUCCUGAAGAAGUAAAAGAAGCUGCUGUAGAUGAAGAUGAAGAACAUGAGAUUCAUUUGCCUAUUGUCAUACCAGAGCAUGAUGUGUCAGGCUGGCCGAAUCCUCUCAAUGACAUGUCUUCAUAUGAUGUGUUUGCUACUACCUUGCAUUGCAUGAUGCCAUCACUUAAGGUAGAUUUGAAAAACUAUUUGCUUGGACAUGAUCAUACACACCUUGUUAGUGGCAUUGCUCAUAUCUCUGUUCAUGAUACUUAUGUUCCUAAUGCUAUACCCAUGCUUAAUGAAACGUGUGAUUCUAAUACUAGCAUUGAGCUUACUGAGUUGUACCAUCCUAAACAUGUGCUUUAUAGCUAUGCUUAUGUAAUUGGAUAUUCGAUUGAUGACUUGGAGGGUAUUAUCCCUACCACUUGCAUUAUCUCUUUCGUUGAGUGCCUUUUCAGGUUCUUGCUUGUGCACGAAUCACUACAUGCUGACCAAGUUCGAGAUGACAUUCCCUGGGACCCUGGUGGACCCAUGGCAUGGGGAUGA